rnacentral:pre_miRNA from 1 species
AAGCUACUCCCUCCGUUCGAAAUUACUUGUCGCAGAAAUGGAUGUAUCUAGAACUAAAAUACGUCUAGAUACAUCCAUUUCCGAGACAAGUAAUUCCGAACGGAGGGAGUACGUA